ACGGAGGCAGUGUGAGCUCUGAGUGAGGAAGCACCGCUCUGUAGGGUUGUGUUGUUUAUCAGUUCUCUAGUUAGCUUUCGUUAAGCUCUUAAUAAUCGUCUGUUUUCAUCAUAGUGUACAACUUUCUCAAAGCUGUCUGCGUUCUUCUGGACACUUAAGAACAAGUUAACGUUAGAUCUGUUUUAGACUCUGUCUAGAAAGUAACUAGUUAGUCCCGUAGAACAGUGCUGCUGCUGGUUAGCUCGUUAGCUCUCCUGAUGUUCGUGUGUCUGACUGCAGCAUCUGGACUCAAACCUGAUAUCCCAGUGGUGGCUGUUCCAGAAGGAAGUGGCGUUCUCCUAAGAUGUUCACCAAACCCUGUGGAGAACCUCGUUACGACGCUCUUCGAUUGGAAGAUGGGCGAGACGAUGGACCACAAGAAUCGACUACGACGGGAACGGGCAUUCCAGUCAACAUGAGCAGUUCAGGGGACGAGUCUCACAUUUUCCCGACCAACUGAUCGAUGGCAACGCCUCAAUCAUCAUCAGAAACACAAAGAUUGAGGACACAGGAAUCUACACCUGCAUCUUUCCAGAAUUUCAGGACCAAAGAGUCAGCAUGAGGCUCGUUGUUGGUGAGUUUCUCAAACCGUCGACUCCUAAAACUGUAAAUUCUCAUAUAAAAGCAGGUUUUUAGAUGAUGGCAGUCUGAUGCUCUGAGCCACUCAGGAGAUUAAAGAAGAAUUUACAUCCUGUUUUAUGUCCUCAUUUGUAGAGAUUUUUAUCUGUAGCAGCUUAAAAAAAAGAGCUUAAAUGUAAAUCAGAGAUUUAAUUCUGUCUAAUGAGAAUCACAGUCCACAUAUCAGCAGCAACCACUAGUUUUAUGUUAUUCUCUACUGUUGAAAAGUCUGAGGUCAUCCAGACAAUUCCAUGUUCUCCAUGAAAACUCCCACUUUUAUCCAUGCAAUAACAUAACUGCACAAGGGUUUUCUAAUCAUCAAUGAGUCUUUCAACACCAUUAGCUAACACAAUGUAGCAUUAGAACACAGGAGUGAUGGUUGCUGGAAAUGUUCCUCUGUACCUCUAUGGAGAUAUUCCAUUAAAAAUCAGAAAAUUCUGCGUGUUGUCAUGAUAAAAGGCACAUAUCCACUAACUCUAACUGAUCAGAUAAUCCACUAACCCUAACUGAUCAGAUAAUCCACUAACCCUAACUGAUCAGAUAAUCCACUAACCCUAACUGAUCAGAUAAUCCACUAACUCUAACUGACACCUAUUUGGACAGUGGAUUCAUAAUUCAUCUCUAUUAGCAAUCAUCUGACAGAUAAAAAUUCGGUGUCCAACCUCAGCGCUCCACUUGUUUCCUAAAAUAGAGCAUUAUUAUAAUUAAAGAUCCUGUGAGGUGUGAUAUAUAUAUUCAGAUUACAAUUAAUCACUAAUCAUAGGAUCUUUAUGAAGAAGCUGUGCAACAUGGUGUAUUCUGAUACGUGUACUGCAGCCUCACUGUAGGGAUUAAUGAGUGAAGGACUCAGUCAUGGAGGACAGUUUACCUCCUCCUGAGAUCAGGAACAGAUUCUACCUCACUAUGUACAGCUGGACUCUAAAUUAUUCAGCCUUCGUUGUAAAUCAGGUUUACUGGCUAAUAGGGCUGGGCGAUAAAUCGAUUUUAUCGAUUAAUUCGACUUUGUACUUAAUGUCGAUUUGUUUUAAUGAAAAUCGAUUUUCUCAUCAACAUCCGCCACCAACGCCUUCCCGCUGGGCUCCCGUAGUUCAGAGUGCCCCCCCUCCCCCCCGCGCUUGAUAUACAAACAACAUGGCGGCGAGCGGUGCAGAUCUAAAGGUACGUGUCCACUAGAUGCUAUUUUCCCGCACGGCAACGCACCACAUCUGAAAAUCACAUGGACGGCAGGCGGUCACUAGCGAACCACAUGACAUGGUCACAUGACAGUGAGGAGCAACAGCAGGCCGCUACGUGGUCACAUGACCGAGCUUUCAGCUGGACAGUCCUGCAGACAAGUCGGAUAAAUUGUAUUUAUGAAGCCAAAUGAAACUAAUCAGCUAGCUAGACUGCAAGAUUGUCUUAAGGACAUAAAGACCUGGAUGACCUAUAAUUUCUUACUACUAAAUUCAGACAAGACUGAAGUCAUUGUAUUUGGCCCCAAACAUCUUAGAGAAUUGCUUUCAAAGCAUAUAGUUACUCUGGAUGGCAUUACAUUGGCCUCCAGUACUACUGUGAGGAACCUCGGUGUUAUCUUUGACCAGGACAUGUCCUUUAACUCACACAUAAAACAAAUCUGUAGGACUUCCUUUUUCCACCUGAGAAAUAUUGUGAAAAUCAGGAACAUCCUGUCUCAGAGUGAUGCAGAAAAACUAGUCCAUGCAUUUGUUACUUCUAGGCUUGACUACUGUAAUUCCUUAUUAUCAGGUUGUCCCAAUAGCUCUCUGAAACAUCUACAGCUGAUCCAAAACGCUGCAGCCAGAGUACUGACGGGAGUUAGCAAGAGAGAUCAUAUUUCUCCUAUAUUGGUUUCUCUUCAUUGGCUCCCUGUUAAAUCUAGAAUAGAAUUCAAAAUCCUUCUUCUGACAUAUAAAGCUCUUAACAACCAAUCUCCAUCAUAUCUUAAAGACCUGAUAGUACCAUAUUAUCCUAGCAGAACUCUUCGCUCUCAGACUGCAGGCUUACUUGUUGUUCCUAGAAUCUCUAAAAGUAGAAUGGGAGGCAGAGCCUUCAGUUAUCAGCUCCUCUCCUGUGGAACCAGCUCCCAGUUUGGGUUCUGGAGGCUGACACCCUCUAUAUUUUUAAGACCAGGCUUAAAACCUUCCUUUUUGACAAAGCUUAUAGUUAGGACUGACUGGGGGACCCUGAGGGGGUCAGCUGGAGUCUUCCUCUUGGACGUCCCUUAGUUCUGCCCCUAGUUCUGCUGCUAUAGGCCUAGGCUGCUGGAGGACCUCUCUGGAUGCACUGAGCCCUUCUCUAACUACCUAUGUAUUUACUAUAUAUACCAUUAUUGCAUUACACUCACUCUGUUUCUCCCUGUAUCCUUUCUCCGAGUGUCCCUGAUCCCAGAGCUGGAUGCUUCAGAUCUGUGGUGGUUCUCCCACCAACUGGCCUAAUCUCCAUCUGUGGGAUGCUGCUGCUGCUGACCUUCCUCCAGCCCACUGCUUCCAGCUGCCCAUUUCCAUCAAUCUACUCUGCAUCACCCUCACUAUACUUGAUUUGCUCAUCUACAUAUUUUUGAAUUUACCACCAGCUAUAUAUGUAGUAUAUUUAAUGCCAGAGCUGUACACCAUAGCAGUAAACUAUAAUUAGUUUCCAUGUUAGUUGUACUUUGCAUGUAUCAUCUGUCUUAUCAUGCAUGUAUUAAACUGUGUUUUAUGGUCCUUGUGUCCCACCCCCCACCUCUCUAUCUCUACCUCUUCCCCUCUAUCUGUAUCCCUCUAUCUCUACCCCUCUAUCUCUAUCUCUACCCCUCUAUCUCUACCUCUCUACCUCUUCUGUCCCUCUAAACCCGCCCGGCCAGCAGCAGAUGGGUUCCCCCACAUUAGAGCCGGGUUCUGUUCCAGGUUUUUUUCCCUGUUAAAAGGGUGUUUUCCUGCCACUGUCUCCUUAGGGCUGCUCUGGGGUUCAGGCAUAUGGGUUCUGUAAAGCGUCUUGUGACAAUUUGACUGUAAUUGGCGCUAUAUAAAUAAAAUUGAAUUGAAUUGAAUUAUGGAAUUCUCUGGAUGACCUCAAACUUUAGAACUGUCGUCUAUGACGACUAAAAGCUGGAAUAAGUUCUGGUUAACAGGUUUGUUGUGCCGUCUUCUUCUUCAUGUCUUCACAGGUGUUGCUCAUGAGCCUUACGUCUCCAUAUCUGACAUCUCCGAGUCCGGGGUUCGACUGAAAUGUGAGGCUAAAGGUGCGUUUCCAGAGCCGAAGCUUCAGUGGCUGGACAGUGAUGGAGUCGUUCUUUUCUGCUGACGAUCCAGAGGUUUCAGAAAGAGGACGUCUCUUUGAUGUCACCCUCCAGACUACGGUGAACUCCACCAACUCCGUUUCUGCUGCGUGGUGAAGCAGGAGAACUUCCACCAUCAGAUCGAACGCAACGUCACUGUUCCAGAGAAACUGUUUGAGAAAAUGUCCAGAGACGUGGAUUGUUCUCAAGCGGAGUGGCUUUGGGAACUUUAAUUGGAGCUUUACUUGCGACUGCAGCCUCCAUCAGAAGGCGCCUUAAUAAAGGUCAUCAGCCACCAGAGAGUCCUGAAGAGUACAAACUUAACGAGAAGCAGAAGGGUCAUCCUUGAUGUGUCUCCUGUCUGGAUGUACAGCCGACAUGUCAUUCAUAUUAUUAGGAACACCUGAGAAAUCUGAUGCAGCACAGUACUCACAGGAAAGGGCUGAUUCUAAUUUAUUAUUGGGCUGUUUGGUGCUAAACUGUACUCCAUCUAAAGUAUUCCUAAAUGGUGUUGAUGUGUAGCAGCAGUAGAAAUGUCAGUAGAAAUGUCAGUAGAAACUCUAGUAGAAACGUCAGCAGAAACUCCAGUAGAAACGUCAGUAGAAACUCUAGUAGAAACUCUAGUAGAAACGUCAGUAGAAACUAGUAGAAACGUCAGUAGAAACUCUAGUAGAAACGUCAGUAGAAACUCUAGUAGAAACGUCAGUAGAAACUCCAGUAGAAACGUCAGUAGAAACUCUAGUAGAAACGUCAGUAGAAACUCUAGGAGAAACUAGUAGAAACUGUAGUAGAAACUCUAGUAGAAACUCUAGUAGAAACUUCAGCAGCAAUAAGAAAACCAGUCGAUAGUUUCACUAGAAGGUCCUGAAAGCUCAGAACGUCUCACUGCAAGAACAAACCUUGCAAACCUUUGUUCUGAUGUGUUGUUCUAGAGCAGAUUCAGUUUCUUCACCUGGUCCAAAGCAAAGACAUGAACCAAGUUUCAGCGUUACAGUCGUUAGAAAACGGUGCCAAUUUAUCGUUAUUUAUUCAGGUCGGUGGGUGGAGCAAAGAAAAUACAACAACUUGUUUGUUUACAUGAAGUCUGGAGGAUCCAGAUCUCUAAUAAAGUUUCUGUGAGGAGA